rnacentral:rRNA from 1 species
UACGGGGGGGGGCAAGCGUUGUUCGGAAUUACUGGGCGUAAAGGGCUCGUAGGUGGCCAACUAAGUCGGACGUGAAAUCCCUCGGCUUAACCGGGGAACUGCGUCUGAUACUGGAUGGCUUGAGUUCGGGGAGAGGGAUGCGGAAUUCCAGGUGUAGCGGUGAAAUGCGUAGAUAUCUGGAGGAACACCGGGUGGCGAAAGGCG